GACAGAGGUCUCAAGCGUUAGGCGGAAUCACUGGGCUUAAAGCGUGUGUAGGCGGAUUCCUAAGUACCUUGUAAAAUCCCCGGGCUUAACCCGGGAACUGCUUGGUAUACUGGGUGUCUUGAGCCAACUAGGGGCGACCGGAACAAACGGUGGAGCGGUGAAAUGCGUAGAUAUCGUUUGGAACGCCAAUGGUGAAAACAGGUCGCUGGGGUUGUGCUGACGCUGAGACACGAAAGCCAGGGGAGCGAACGGG
rnacentral:rRNA from 1 species